rnacentral:rRNA from 1 species
ACGGGUGAGUAACGCGUGGGGAACCUACCUCUUUGUGGGGAAUAACGUUCCGAAAGGAAUGGUAAUACCGCAUGAGACCAUGGACUGGGAUGUUCAUGGUGAAACCCGGGGACCGCAAGGCCUGGGGCAAGGAGAGGGUCCUGCGUCUGAUUAGCUAGUUGGCGGGGUAACGGCCCACCAAGGCGUCGAUCAGUAGCCGGCCUGAGAGGGUGAUCGGCCACACUGGAACUGAGACACGGUCCAGACUCCUACGGGAGGCAGCAGUGGGGAAUUUUGCGCAAUGGGCGAAAGCCUGACGCAGCAACGCCGCGUGGGUGAUGAAGGUCUUCGGAUCGUAAAACCCUGUCGUCAGGGACGAAGGUCGCAUGUCUAAUAGAUGUGUGACUUGACGGUACCUGGAGAGGAAGCCCCGGCUAACUCUGUGCCAGCAGCCGCGGUAAUACAGAGGGGGCAAGCGUUAUUCGGAAUUAUUGGGCGUAAAGGGCGCGUAGGCGGUGUCUUAAGUGAGAUGUGUAAUCCCCGAGCUUAACUUGGGAACUGCACCUCAGACUGGGGCGCUAGAGUGCUGGAGAGGGUGGUAGAAUUCCACGUGUAG